CUAUAUUUCUUGACCUUUCUCUAUUUGUGUCUAAUGCCGAAUUCAUUUCUUUAAUUUGACAUUGAUGUCAUAUAUAUAUAUAUAUAUAGAGAAUAUAUAUAUAUAGAAGGUUCUUUGACAAUGAAAAACAAAUUACACUAAUUCAUCUAUUGAUAUGAAUAACAGGAUGUAAUGGACACGUGACAUACAUCGGUACCGGUGGAUUAUCGUAAUAACCAUAUAACGGUUGAGAUACCUGCGGGGGUGGUGCAAAUGGAUGCAUAACAUGAACUGGUUGAACAUAGGGCAUCAUUUGUACCGGUGUGGUAGGUACCGAAGAACCAUGUACACCGUUACCACGACCUAACGUUGAUCCGUUAUAAGAUCCCACGUAAACAUCGUGAUUGAUCUUACCCGAGUAAGCACUCGCAGGUCUUAUCAUUGAAGCUUCAUGAAUGCUAGAUGCCACUGCCGUCAUUCUAGCUUCGUUCAUUUGGGUGCUCCAUUUGAGCCGACAGAUACAUAUGACUAUAACGAUGAUGGCUAUAAAAGCGACGACACCACCAACUAUGCCAAUUAUUAAAGUAUCGUCUGUACUCGACACAUUUCCAACGGUAACACUACUGGUUCAGCCGUUGUUGAUCUCGAGGAAGGUGUCAUUUCUGUUGUUUGAUAUCUACUAAGGGUUGUCCGAUCACAAGUAAGAUAUUCCUCGGUAAGAUUAUUCAAUAACAUUCCUGAUACAUAAUCAGGAGUCAUACAAAUAACAUUAGAUGCUCUAUUGCCUAAUCCUUUUAACCAUCUCCAAAGAUGUUUCGUUUCACAGUUACAAUUAAUAGGAUUACUAUCCAAACCAGUGAGUUUUACGAAACCACUUCUUUCAUCGAGAGCAGCCAACAAUUGUACGGACAGAGUAGUGAAUUUAUUUCCAGUUAUAUCCAAUGAGACUACUGUAGAACGUGGUACCGGGAAGAAGAGAGCUGCUGGUAUCGUGUCAACGGAUGUAUUUUUCAGACCAAGGGACAAUGAAGGUACACGUACACCCACCAACGAACUCGAAAGUACGAACAAUCGACCUGGGAUUUCUCGCACCAAGUUACGCGUUAAUCCUAACGUAACGAGACUAGAUGACGUAGAUCGAAUUAAUUCCGUGGAUAAUGCCGCUACACGAUUGAAUUCGACGUGAAGAUGAGCCAAUGCUGGUAGUCGUGUUAGUGCUGUAGCCGGUACUAAUAAAAUAUUGUUAUCCUGUAGCGACAACCAUUUUAAUUUUACUAAUCCUUCGAAGGAUGACUCCUCUAUCUGAAAAUAAAGAAAAAAAAAAUAAAUAAAUAAAAAUAAAAAAAUAAAAAAUUAUAUUUUAUUAUAGAAUAAAAAUUAAAUAUAUUUUUUAUAUUACCGUACGCAAAGCAUUCAAGCUUAAAUCAAGUCUAGUGAGAGAGGAAAGACUGGAGAACGUAUUUAUUCCAAGUCGACCAAUAUUAUUUCGACUUAGAUCGAGUACUUGUAAUUCGGUCAGGCCUAACAAAUGGACACGUUCAAUUUCCUAAAUAAUAUUUCAAAUUAAUCGUACAUAAUUAAGUGAAAUUUGUUAAAUUUAAUAUCUUGAUUGAACUUACUGUAAUUAAAUUAUUUGAAAUAUUCAAAAACUUUAGAUCCGUCAAAUGUCUCAAAGCAUAAGUAGGAAAUUCUUGUAAGUAGUUCACAGAAAGAUCCAAUUGUAAUAAAUUGUAUGCUCCUGAAAUAAUCGAUUAUUAGUAUUAAUAUAAUCUUUUAUUAUUUUG